AACGUAGGAGACAAACGUUAUCCGGAGUUACUGGGCGUAAAGGGCGCGUAGGCGGCCACCGCAAGUCGACUGUGAAAUCUCCGGGCUUAACCCGGAAAGGUCAGCCGAUACUGCGGGGCUAGAGUGCAGAAGGGGCAACUGGAAUUCUCGGUGUAGCGGUGAAAUGCGUAGAUAUCUGGAGGAACACCGGUGGCGAAGGCGGCAUUCUGGACCGAAACUGACGCUGAUGCGCGAAAGCCAGGGGAGCAAACGGG
rnacentral:rRNA from 1 species